GAUAGUGUUUUCUAUGAUAGAUGCACAUUAUAUUUGAUUUAAAAUGUCUUUGUGUGUCAUCAAGUUAUUAUAUCAAUUCUAAUUAUAAUAAAUGAAAUUUUUUUUUCAACAAAUAUAAUAUCAUAUUAUUGACUGUAUUCGGUAUGUUUAUACUUUAUAUAUUAUAAUAUGUUAUAAAAAUAAAUAUUAAUUACAAUAUGAUAGAAUGAUUUUAUUAUAAUAUAUAGGAAACGGCGACUCAAGUGACGGAUGGAAGUGAUGAGCUACCUAAUGUUCCCUGAAUAAGCACCUGCAGUUUUGAUACACGCGAUGUUUAUUCCAAUUGUACUUCAGUCAACCUUAGACAAUGCACUUUGUCACUCGUCUCCAAAUUUCAACAAAUUAUUAUCAACUUUACAUAAUAUAUUCACUUAGAAUAAUUAUAAUAUACAAUAAUUUCUAAUAAUAAUCGACUGUUUGUUUUAACCCGCAUUACAAAGAGAACUGAUCGUGAAACUAUUGAAGCACUCCACUGGCUAUUAAACGUCUCCGAACAACGUGGACUAUUUUACGAAAUCCAGUAAAAAUCAGUCCACUAGUUUUCAAGUCUAUUGAUCUCGGACGGAUAUACCAACAUGCAUUAAAAUAGAAAUAAAAAACAAAAAAUAAAUUAUAUUGUACUUUUAAAACGCUAGCUAUGUAUAUGCGAAACAACAAUAUGUGCGAAUGGUUUUUUGGAGACCCCGUCAUCGUAUAAUAUUAUUACAUUCUUAAGAUGCCGUCUACGAAACAAAUAACACAAUAAGUCUCUUUUGUAAUGA